UACGUAGGUGGCGAGCGUUGUCCGGAUUUACUGGGCGUAAAGGGAGCGUAGGCGGACUUUUAAGUGAGAUGUGAAAUACUCGGGCUCAACUUGAGUGCUGCAUUUCAAACUGGAAGUCUAGAGUGCAGGAGAGGAGAAUGGAAUUCCUAGUGUAGCGGUGAAAUGCGUAGAGAUUAGGAAGAACACCAGUGGCGAAGGCGUUUCUCUGGACUGUAACUGACGCUGAGGCUCGAAAGCGUGGGGAGCAAACAGG
rnacentral:rRNA from 1 species